ACGGGAGGCAGCAGUGGGGGAUAUUGCGCAAUGGGGGAAACCCUGACGCAGCAACGCCGCGUGUGGGAAGAAGGUCUUCGGAUUGUAAACCAUUGUCUUUGGUGACGAUAAUGACGGUAGCCGAGGAGGAAGCUCCGGCUAACUACGUGCCAGCAGCCGCGGUAAUACGUAGGGAGCAAGCGUUAUCCGGAUUUACUGGGUGUAAAGGGUGCGUAGGCGGGACUGUAAGUCAGGCGUGAAGUCUAUCGGCUUAAGCGGUAAACUGCGCUUGAAACUGUAGGUCUUGAGUGAAGUAGAGGUAAGCGGAAUUCCCGGUGUAGCGGUGAAAUGCGUAGAGAUCGGGAGGAACACCAGUGGCGAAGGCGGCUUACUGGGCUGUUACUGACGCUGAGGCACGAAAGCAUGGGGAGCAAACAGGAUUAGAUACCCUGGUA
rnacentral:rRNA from 1 species